UUCUGACCGUAAACGAUGCCAACUAGCGAUCCGCCGGUGGAUUUUUAGCCCUGGUGGGUAGCUUCCCGGAAACGAAAGUCUUCCGGUUCCGGGGGAAGUAUGGUUGCAAAGCUGAAACUUAAAGGAAUUGACGGAAGGGCACCUCCAGGAGUGGAGCCUGCGGCUUAAUUUGACUCAACACGGGGAAACUCACCCGGCCCGGACACCGUAAGGAUUGACAGAUUGAUAGCUCUUUCAUGAUUCGGUGGUUGGUGGUGCAUGGCCGUUCUUAAUUCGUGGAUCGAUUUGUCUGGUUUAUUCCGAUAACGAGCGAGACUCUAGCCUACUAAAUAGUAACGAGAUUAUCAAUGUCUCAGUUGCUUCUUAGAGGGAUUUUCGGUGUUUAGCCGCACGAGAUUGAGCAAUAACAGGUCUGUGAUGCCCUUAGAUGUCCGGGGCUGCACGCGCGCUACACUGGCGAAAUCAGCGUGCUGUAUCCAUUCUCGAAAGGGAUUGGUAAACCCAUGAAAAUUUGCCGUGCUUGGGAUCGGAAAUUGCAAUUAUUUUCCGUGAAC
rnacentral:rRNA from 1 species